CCCUUCGCUUCACCACCCCUUUCUUCUUGGCCAUCUCUUCUUCUCCUACUGCUGCUGCCUCUGCCGCUGCCGCUCCCUCGGCGCGCUCCGCAGGGCCGCCCUCCCGGCGCUGAGCGUGCCCUCCGCGGGCGUGAGGAGCAGGUCCAGCGCGGCCCUGCUGGGGUCGGGCUCCUCCGCCUCUCUGCUGUACUCCGUACUCAGGCUGUCCUCGGUCGUGUCCGCAGCCCGGCUCCUCCCGCGGCUACUACGCCCGCUGGCACUACUCCCCUCCUUGUCCGUGGACGUUCUGCAAUUCCGCGCCUCGCUACCAGGACUAGGCCCGGCGGCCCUCCCCUUCGGCGGCGGCCCGCUGCGCUUCCUCCUGGGAGGCCGCUCCGUGCUCUCCAGAGGGUCCCCUUGGUUCGCCAAGAGGCUCUGCUCCCUCCGUACCGCCGGAUCUAGAAGCAAGAAAGUCGUACUACUCGCACUUGCACGAUCCGUUCCACCAGCUGUGAUACCAGCGGUUCUAAUACCUUCUGUUUCCCUAGUUUUACUCGUAGAGUUACUAUCUCUAUCUGUGUUCAGACUCCCUGUACCAAAAGUCCUUUUCCAACCCGUCCGAGUGGUUGUCUCACUACAACUAAGAUGUACCUUCGUGCUACCCAAAAAGUUCAACGUCCUUCUGCGAGGCCAACGGUUUUCCUCCGGUCCCAAAUUCCUCUACUCUUACGGUGACCUCCCCGUUCUUAGUCGAGUACGACAAUGUCUUGGCUUAAGUUCUAGUGCAUAUGGACUAGUUGGACCCACCUGGAGACCUUACCCUCUUCUUUCCUAUUUGAUGGUAAGUGCCCUUAAGUAUUCCGGACUACUAGCUCUAUGGUCCUCCCCUAUAAGACUAAUGGCCUCACAACCAGUCUCUUUACCGAUACUAGGUUCUCCCGCAAAACGACCGUCUCCCCCUUCCCCGUCUCUGUCCAAACUGAUGGUCAUACCACCUUCUUCGUUGUACGUGCUCCUCUGGCCACUAGUAGUCUGUCUUUUUACCUUCGUACUGGAAAUACUACUCUGCUUGUCAUGGGGUCGAGGCUACUGACUUCUUCUCGUCUAACGUUUUCAGCUUCGUGACAACCGCGACAUCAAUGGUAAAAACAACAACGGACCUCAAUAAACGCUACCCAUUUACUAUCAAUAGAAAGGAGUAACAACAGACCUGAGACCUCGACAAACCCUACCGAGCUACCAAUACAUGAACCAGAUCAACAAUAACUUAGAUUGAUAUACCGCGAGACGACCUUAAACCACAGAAUAGAUACUUAAAAGUAAAUGUACUAUAAAAGAAGGGGGGAAACUUGAGUACUUGAGAACUAAACCUAACUUUUACAAGAGAAGAAGGGAAACCACACUUUCACAAACAUUGUUUGUAAUAGUCAGACACAGUCUAGGUGACUUGUUCAUACGAGAAAUUGUACAAUGAUAACUUAAACACAGACAGG
rnacentral:rRNA from 1 species